GUUAAAUCACCGGUUCCUGUACUAUCACCAAAGUUAAGCAACGUUGAGCCUGAUCAGUACCGAGAUGGGUAAUUGGUUGGGAAUACCAGGUGCUGUAAG